rnacentral:rRNA from 1 species
UACGUAGGGGGCGAGCGUUGUCCGGAUUUAUUGGGCGUAAAGAGCGUGUAGGCGGCCAGGUAGGUCCGUUGUGAAAACUCGAGGCUCAACCUCGAGACGUCGAUGGAAACCAUCUGGCUAGAGUCCGGAAGAGGAGAGUGGAAUUCCUGGUGUAGCGGUGAAAUGCGCAGAUAUCAGGAGGAACACCGAUGGCGAAGGCAGGUCUCUGGGCCACUACUGACGCUGAGAAGCGAAAGCAUGGGGAGCGAACAGG